CAGAGGGUAGUUUAAUUUAGAAUCUUAGCUUUGGAGCUAGUGG
rnacentral:tRNA from 1 species